rnacentral:rRNA from 1 species
AGCGAACGCUGGCGGCAGGCCUAACACAUGCAAGUCGAACGAAGCCUUCGGGCUUAGUGGCGGACGGGUGAGUAACACGUGGGAACGUACCUUUUGGUUCGGAACAACUCAGGGAAACUUGAGCUAAUACCGGAUGAGCCCUUAGGGGUAAAGAUUUAUCGCCGAAAGAGCGGCCCGCGUUAGAUUAGCUAGUUGGUGAGGUAAAGGCUCACCAAGGCAACGAUCUAUAGCUGGUCUGAGAGGAUGAUCAGCCACACUGGGACUGAGACACGGCCCAGACUCCUACGGGAGGCAGCAGUGGGGAAUCUUGCGCAAUGGGCGAAAGCCUGACGCAGCCAUGCCGCGUGAAUGAUGAAGGUCUUAGGAUUGUAAAAUUCUUUUACCAGGGACGAUAAUGACGGUACCUGGAGAAAAGGCCCCGGCUAACUUCGUGCCAGCAGCCGCGGUAAGAC